GGAUGAACGCUGGCGGCGUGCCUACUACAUGCAAGUCGAGCGAACAGACGAGGAGCUUGCUCCUCUGACGUUAGCGGCGGACGGGUGAGUAACACGUGGAUAACCUACCUAUAAGACUGGGAUAACUUCGGGAAACCGGAGCUAAUACUGGAUAAUAUAUUGAACCGCAUGGUUCAAUAGUGAAAGACGGUUUUGCUGUCACUUAUAGAUGGAUCCGCGCCGCAUUAGCUAGUUGGUAAGGUAACGGCUUACCAAGGCAACGAUGCGUAGCCGACCUGAGAGGGUGAUCGGCCACACUGGAACUGAGACACGGUCCAGACUCCUACGGGAGGCAGCAGUAGGGAAUCUUCCGCAAUGGGCGAAAGCCUGACGGAGCAACGCCGCGUGAGUGAUGAAGGUCUUCGGAUCGUAAAACUCUGUUAUUAGGGAAGAACAAAUGUGUAAGUAACUAUGCACGUCUUGACGGUACCUAAUCAGAAAGCCACGGCUAACUACGUG
rnacentral:rRNA from 1 species